rnacentral:lncRNA from 1 species
CUAGGAUAUUGUGCUCCCUAUCUUGAGGGUGUUUGCAUGUAAAGGUCAACAUUUCAGUUACUUGUUGCUUAUUUAGCUAAGCUCGUUGUCACAGCCAUCACAGCAGGUAAGUCAAGUAGCUGAGCUCGUUGUCGCUCAUUCAACUUUAAAUUUUUAUAUUUAGAAGCUUCACAUACUUAGGUUUGAGUCGGAGGAAGGG